GCCCGGGUGGUGGAAUGGUAUACACGCACGACUUAAAAUCGUGUCUCGAAAGAGAUGUGGGUUCGAGUCCCACUCCGGGCA
rnacentral:tRNA from 1 species